rnacentral:lncRNA from 1 species
AUGAGAAAAAACUGUGAUGUCAAUAACCCUCCGGUUCUCUCCUCCAAGAAGGGUCUGAAACGCGGCUCUGGUCCUGAUCUGCUUCGGGACGUGGAGCGUCUGCGUGCGAAGCUGGAGGUGGAGCGCAGCAGGACUCAGCAGGCCCACCGCCGCUUCUCCCUGGAGCUCCAGCGGCAGCGUGAGGAGGCGCGCGAGGAGCGAGAGCGAGCGCUGAGAGAAAUCACCUUCCGGCUGGAGCAGCAGAAAACACUGGAGCUCCUGCGGCAGAGAGACGCUCUGGGACGAGAGCGAGCUGCGGAGGUGCGUCGUCUGCUGCGCUGGCGGAGUCAAUCCACGCUCAGACCAACCAGAGACGUCCAUCGCCAACUGGCGGAUGAGCUGGCUGGAGUCUGCAGAUCCGCAGCUCUCAGACCCAGCUGUAAAGGGAACGGAGCUGCAUAUCGUAGACUGGAGGAGCUGCUGAAAACACUGCUGGAACAGGCGGAUGGACAGCAGGUCGCUUUGCUUCAUCGGCUUCAGCAGGAAGUGGAUCUAGAGAAGAGCUACUUCCUGUGCCAUCUGCUGGAAGCACACAGUCGGCCAGCACUGCAGAGGAAAGAGGAACGCAAAGACAAAGAGUUUGUUGUGGAACAAUCCAGGCGAAGGUCAAAGAGUUGUAUACAGGUGACGGGAGGAGUCAGAGAAGGAAAUCUUGCUUUAUUUCGUUCUAAUUCGCUAUCACAGACAUACAAAAGCGAAUCUCCUCAACCUAUGAAGAAGAAGAAGAAGCAGCAGGAUUCUGAAACUCCAGCAGAAGAAGAGGCGUCUGGAGGAGAUGUGGAGAGCUUACCUGAGCCUGCUUCGUCUGAUGAGGAAUCGCAGAAGUGCUCCACAUCCCCAUGUUCACAGGACAAUAUGGACGAGCAGGUAAGAGUGUGUUUUUUUUCUUCUGCCCUGGUGUCCUGUUCAGAGGCUGUAUUUUAAGCAUUGGUGUUUUAUAAAAUGUCAUUGUUCAUUGCUCAGUUUGAGGAUGUUUUGCCUUUUCUGCUUGGCUGUAAUUGCAUUUGGAUAUUUGUGUUGCUUUUGGAAACUUAUGAUGGUUUUGGCCUUAGGUUUGUUGGAUUAUCAAAGCUUGAAAUAUAUCUGUGUUGAUCAGUUGGUCAGUGGAUUGUCCUGAAAUCAUUAGCUAACUAAAUAGAUGUAAUCAUCAUUCUAAUCAAUUAUUGGUUUUAACUAUAGAUCCGAGUUUUUUCAAUUUGUUGAGAAAAAAGUUCUUAAAGUAUUCUCUUCUGCCCACCAAGAGGUCUGCGCAGGACUGUUUUUUAGUCCCGCUCCCGCCAGGUUUUAUUCCGCACCAGUCUUCUUCCACUGUAUGUUCAGUCUUUGUUCACUCUUUGCCCGCUUAACUACCAUUCAAGAGUUCACACUUAGCUGAUGAUGAAUCAUGAAGCUUGUUUUGCAUGCCGUCCCGGAAGAGAGCCCUGAGCUCAUAAGUUCUUCGAGCCUGGGGCUCCCUCCUGUUUGCAAGACGAGAGGGGAGUUUGAGCUCAGGUAUUUUAUUUCACUUAUUUUGAGCUGAAACUUCACACAAACACACUCUAGGGACAUCAGAGACUUAUUUUACACCUUGUAUAAAGUGGUAUAGUAGGCUCCCUUUAACGUCCAGAAAAUGUAUACCUCUCGUUUUAUUGUGUAAUGUGAACCUUAAGGAGAGAGUGAAUGAAAGAGACAAACAGAGCCCCUGCUGUGCUGAAACUGAGAUAUGAAUAAUGCAGAAGUACUGAACAAAACCCAGCGAAAAGCGUCUCCCCACUGAACCCGUCUCAAUGUUUUGAUCAUUCGGUCCCUGAAAUGAUGAAUUUAGUGCCCUGAAAUAGAGGCUUAACGUUGAGCUUUGCAUUGUGUUCAUGUGCUUUGCAAUGGCUCUUAUGACGUUAAAGCUGUGGAUUAUGGGGUUGUGUUCUUUCUGGAUCUGAUUGUGUUUAGUUGAAGUUUUGAUGUGGUUUGCUUGAUCACACACACAAGCUACAAAACUAUGAUUCAGCUCAAUGUAUUAAUUAUAUAAUGGUAUUAUAGCACUCAAGAACGUCGAGUUAUUUAUUUAACCCAAUGGUUGAGUUUAACAUAUUCUGUGCUUUGUUGGGUUGUUUUAACCUUUAUUGGGUUAUUUAUUUAAUAACUGUGUGUGUGUGUGUGUGUGUGUGUGUGUGUGUGUGUGUGUGUGUGUGUGUGUGUGUGUGUGUGUGUGUGUGUGUGUGUGUGUGUGUGUGUGUAUAAAUACACACAAACAUGCAAACAUACAUACAUACAUACAUGUACAUGACCAUGUGUGUGUGCAUGAGUAGGUAUGUGUGUGUGUGUGUGUGUGUGUGUCAAUGUUUAUGUGUGUGUGUGUGUGUGUAUAAAUACACACAUACAUGCAAACAUACAUACAUCCAUACAUGUACAUGACCAUGUAUGUGUGCAUGAGUAGGUGUGUGUGUGUGUGUGUGUGUGUGUGUGUGUGUGUG